UAUUACUUGUAACUAAAAGUCACAUAAAAAGAUUCUAAAUCUAUCGCACUAAUCUGCCAAAAUAAU
rnacentral:tRNA from 1 species